AUUUUUAUAUAUGGGUUUUUUACCUGUUUCUUUGAAAAGCUUUCAUUAAUUUUGGUUCCCAUGGCAGCAGUUCAUUUAAAAGACGUAUCAAUGUACUAUGCAAU